GGGACAACAGUUGGAAACGACUGCUAAUACCGCAUAAGCCCACGGAUCCGCAUGGAUCUGCGGGAAAAGGAUUUAUUCGCUCUAGGAUGGACUCGCGUCCAAUUAGCUAGUUGGUGAGGUAACGGCCCACCAAGGCGACGAUUGGUAGCCGGACUGAGAGGUUGAACGGCCACAUUGGGACUGAGACACGGCCCAGACUCCUACGGGAGGCAGCAGUGGGGGAUAUUGCACAAUGGGGGAAACCCUGAUGCAGCGACGCCGCGUGGAGGAAGAAGGUUUUCGGAUUGUAAACUCCUGUCGUUAGGGACGAUAAUGACGGUACCUAACAAGAAAGCACCGGCUAACUACGUGCCAGCAGCCGCGGUAAAACGUAGGGUGCAAGCGUUGUCCGGAAUUACUGGGUGUAAAGGGAGCGCAGGCGGACCGGCAAGUUGGAAGUGAAAACUAUGGGCUCAACCCAUAAAUUGCUUUCAAAACUGCUGGCCUUGAGUAGUGCAGAGGUAGGUGGAAUUCCCGGUGUAGCGGUGGAAUGCGUAGAUAUCGGGAGGAACACCAGUGGCGAAGGCGACCUACUGGGCACCAACUGACGCUGAGGCUCGAAAGCAUGGGUAGCAAACAGGAUUAGAUACCCUGGUAGUCCAUGCCGUAAACGAUGAUAACUAGGUGUUGGAGGAUUGACCCCUUCAGUGCCGCAG
rnacentral:rRNA from 1 species